ACACCCAUAGCUCAGCUGGCAGAGCACCUGACUCUUAAUCAGGGUGUCCGGGGUUCGAACCCCCGUGGGUGUACCA
rnacentral:tRNA from 1 species